AAAGUACUCCCUCUGUUCUGAAUUACUCGCUGUAGAAAUGGAUGUAUCUAGAUGUAUUUUAGUUCUAGAUACAUCAAUUUCUAUGAUGAGUAAUUUGGAAUGGAGGGAGUAACAA
rnacentral:pre_miRNA from 1 species